AGAACGAACGCUGGCGGCAUGCCUAAUACAUGCAAGUCGAACGAACUCUUCGGAGUUAGUGGCGCACGGGUGCGUAACGCGUGGGAAUCUGCCCUUGGGUUCGGAAUAACAGUUGGAAACGACUGCUAAUACCGGAUGAUGACGAAAGUCCAAAGAUUUAUCGCCCAGGGAUGAGCCCGCGUAGGAUUAGCUAGUUGGUGAGGUAAAGGCUCACCAAGGCGACGAUCCUUAGCUGGUCUGAGAGGAUGAUCAGCCACACUGGGACUGAGACACGGCCCAGACUCCUACGGGAGGCAGCAGUAGGGAAUAUUGGACAAUGGGCAAAGCCUGAUCCAGCAAUGCCGCGUGAGUGAUGAAGGCCUUAGGUUGUGAAGCUCUUUUACCCGAGAUGAUAAUGACAGUAUCGGAGAAUAAGCCCCGGCUAACUCCGUGCCAGCAGCCGAC
rnacentral:rRNA from 1 species